rnacentral:rRNA from 1 species
UACGAAGGGGGCUAGCGUUGCUCGGAAUGACUGGGCGUAAAGGGCGCGUAGGCGGAUGGCACAGUCAGAUGUGAAAUUCCCGGGCCUAACCUGGGGGCUGCAUUUGAUACGUGUUGUCUAGAGUGAGGAAGAGGGUUGUGGAAUUCCCAGUGUAGAGGUGAAAUUCGUAGAUAUUGGGAAGAACACCGGUGGCGAAGGCGGCUCACUGGCCCGGUACUGACGCUGAGGUGCGAAAGCGUGGGGAGCAAACAGG